rnacentral:rRNA from 1 species
AGUUUGAUCCUGGCUCAGAUUGAACGCUGGCGGCAGGCCUAACACAUGCAAGUCGAACGGUAACAGAGAGUAACUUGCUACUUUGCUGACGAGUGGCGGACGGGUGAGUAAUGUCUGGGGAUCUGCCUGAUGGAGGGGGAUAACUACUGGAAACGGUAGCUAAUACCGCAUAAUGUCGCAAGACCAAAGCGGGGGACUUUCGGGCCUCGCACCAUCAGAUGAACCCAGAUGGGAUUAGCUAGUAGGUAGGGUAAUGGCUUACCUAGGCGACGAUCCCUAGCUGGUCUGAGAGGAUGACCAGCCACACUGGAACUGAGACACGGUCCAGACUCCUACGGGAGGCAGCAGUGGGGAAUAUUGCACAAUGGGCGCAAGCCUGAUGCAGCCAUGCCGCGUGUAUGAAGAAGGCCUUCGGGUUGUAAAGUACUUUCAGUCAGGAGGAAGGGUGUGAAAUUAAUACUUUCAUGCAUUGACGUUACUGACAGAAGAAGCACCGGCUAACUCCGUGCCAGCAGCCGCGGUAA